rnacentral:lncRNA from 1 species
CCUCACGUAUGCUUAUUAUCUUAUUCAUUAGCUAUCCAAUUAAAGGAUUCAUUUAACCUCCACGGGUUAAAUCCAUUUAGAAUAUAAAAUAACCUAACCAAAUCCAGUCCAUAUCAAUCCAUUUAUAUCUAUAACACAAUCCAAUUUACAUCAUUUGGAAGAUAUAAUCCAUUUACACUCAACCAAACACGAUCCAAAUUAAAACCAACCCAUUUAACUCAUUUUCAUCUAUCCAGGCGGAGCGGAUUACCGGGCGGUGUCGGCACGCAGAUGUCGAGGGAAACGGGUGCGAUCCGUCGAAAAAUUUCAAGCAUUUCG